GUAGUUGUAAACAAUGUGUUUUGACUUUUCUCCUGUCAUCUGUUGCGGUUGUUGGUGUUUACUUGAUGAAAAGAAGUCACAAUGAAGAAAGAAGGAUUUGGAGUGUUCAACCUCUGAUCUUAAGAGAAAGGAAAGCAGUUAGAUGACCUUCCACCUAAAAGUUUAAUGACAAUAAAUAUGAGUUAUGCAUCAAGCCAGUCAAGUCAGACAAGUCAACAGUUGACAGAGAGCCAGGAAACAGAGGACUCAACAGUUCAACAAGAUGAUAGAUUUGAGAAACUAAAUGACUUUCUAUGUGUGGAGUAAGUCUGGUGAAAUGUAUGUUGAAUAGAAUGCAGGACUCAAGAUACCAUGCAAAAGCUAACCAAUGUGUUUCUCUAGUACUUACAAGCCAGCAAAUUUCCAGUUUUUAUUCCAGAGUUACAAUUAAGGAGAAAAAAAAUGGACAGAGACGAUGUAUUAGCAGAAGAGGAAAGAUUAUUUCUGUUCAAAAAUGAGAUCUUAAAAGACCUUUCAUAACAUGCAUGUCUUUUAUUAAGAGUUAAACAGCUAUACAUGUAUUGAAAAGUUCAUAGAAUAUGAACUUGGUUGUUACAGUAUGAUCAGUUCACAUCUUGAUGAACGUUUAAAGUUGUCAUUUAUGAGCUAUGUUUAUAUUUGAGGAAUUAUCAUAGUAUGCAAAAUUAUAAAUAAAACCAUUUCAUGCAACAGUCUAUAGGCACAACCAUGAGCUUUAACAAUGAUCAUUGUGAUGUCAUGAAUAUGAAGUCUUGACAUUUCAAAAAAUCGCCUAAAAAUUAACAUCUUGCUCUAAUUUUGUUAAUAUAAGGGGAAAUAUUUUCCUUAUAAAUAUCAAUACAACUGUAAUUGUGACUCAGUUUUAUAACAAACUGAUUUUACCGAGCAGAAAUGGUUUAUUUUAUUGUAUCUAUCAGUAUAUGCUUUUUUUUAUACCAUUGUUAUUUGUAUUUCAGAGUACAAAUUCCUGUCGCUAGUCAUUAUACAUAAUUAUAUGUUCUAACUUGAUCUACUGAGGCUUGGGUGUGUACCAAAAUUAGUUUACAAUGCCCUUAUUUAUUAUUAUAGUAUUUCGAUUUGUGUUUCAAAUACUGUCGUAGUUAAUCAAGUUACUGGUAUGAAGGUUCUGUAUGCUGCGCUACAUGAACCAUGUAUGAAAGCUGUUAUUUGGCAUACUGUGGUUUCAUUAAUUUUCAUGGGUAUCAAUUUUCGUGGAUUUUCUGAAAAUCACAGUUUCGAGCAUACGUAAAUUCGUGACCAAUGAUCCUAUCAUUACAGAAUGUAAGUUGAAAUUGAACUUUAAUAAACAUUUAAUUUCGUGGAUUAACUUAACAAUGAAAUCCACGAAAAUUGGUAUUCAACGAAUAUUGAUGAAACCACAGUAUUAGUGAAUCCAGAUGGGGGGGGGGGGGGAUGUUCUAGAAUAAUUUGAUUAUACCUGCAUUUAUGAUUAUAUUUUUUCAGUCUGUUUUU